rnacentral:lncRNA from 1 species
GCAGAACUUGGCUUGGAGAAUGCUAUAUAUUCAAAGAUGGGAGAUGAGUGAGAAGUGGGAAGUAGAGAGGGCACAAAAUGUCUUGGAACUGUGGUGUGUAAUUCAAUAACAUCUUAAGCAGGACGGAAUCUAAGCUUCUGGAAGAAAAAAAAUGAUUGCUUUGAUUGCUUGGUAAUGGUGGAAAACAACAACUUAGAAAAGACAGAAGUGAAUUGAAAGACCUUUUCCAGGUUUGGGGCCAAGAGACUCUCAGAAUAGUCUCGACAAACAGGGACUCCACCAGAUCUAAGCACAUGUAAUCUCAAGAGGACUGGCGUCUGAAAGAGUGCAGUCCCUGAGGCAUAGGGCCCAAUAAAUAAACCACCAGUGAAGAAGACGCUUACCCAUGUGUGGCACUGUGAGCCUCACUGAUCAGCAGGGCUUACUCUGUGGGCUCUGCUUUUUGGGGGACCUGAGGAGCCUACAGGGACACAGAAUCUGGAACCACUCCUGGAGAAAGGGAGACUUGGGAGAAAGAAGUUGAGCUGUUCUCGUGAGUCACUGAUGAAUAGGCACGUCUCAAGCCCAGAUGGAAAAGAGAUGUCAGAAGUGUUGAGAAGCAUUUGCUGCUGGCCAGUCCUUCCUUCGCUUUGUAGGGAGACACAUGCCAUUUCCAGAGGGAAAUUUUCCAGUCUAAUAAGGCUACCAUUCCCAAAUCCAAGAGUCAGUCAAAUGGGCGACGCCUGAAACCAAACUCUCCCAGACCCCGGAUUUCCAGUGCAUAAUUUAUCCUUGAGAAAGAGUUCUACUUUGGGGAAAUACUGCUUGGGUUUGCAAGUAACCUGGAACAUGAGUCUCAUUUCACAUUCAAUCUCACAGCUCCUUUCAUUGCUAACAAACCCACCCCAUGAGCUCCUACUGCAGCCAAGGCCAACAAUUCUUCGGUGUUAGUCCUUAUAGUGGCACUUUAGCAAUGCUCAUUCUUACACCCACAGUGGAAGCCUGUGUCCUGAGAGCCCUGGGCCCUGGAUACAGCAGCAUCAACUAUGAAUCUAUCAAUCUGAGUUGUCUUGUUCACUAGCCCAUUUGGCAAGACAAGUGGUAUGUCUUAGGAUUUCUAUUGCUGUAAUAAAACAACAUGACCCAAAGUAACUUAGGCAGGAAAGGGUUUAUUUCAUCUUACAACUUGUAGUCUAUCCUCCAGGGAAUUCAGGUCAGGAACUUGGAGGCAGGAACUGAAACAGAAGAAAUAGAGAAUGCUGCUUACUAACUUGUUUUGUUCCUUGUGGGUAGUUCGGCCACAGUUUCUUAGAGAAUGUAGAACCAUCAGUCCACCAUCUACAGUGACCUGGACCCUCCAAUAUCAAUCAUCAACCAAGAAAAUUCCCUACAGGCCAUUCUGGUGGGGGCAUCUUCUCACUUGAGGCAUCCUCUUCCCAAAUGACUCUUGC